rnacentral:rRNA from 1 species
CCUACGGGAGGCAGCAGUCGAGAAUCAUUCACAAUGGGGGAAACCCUGAUGGUGCGACGCCGCGUGGGGGAAUGAAGGUCUUCGGAUUGUAAACUCCUGUCAUGUGGGAGCAAAUUAAAACGAUAGUACAACAAGAGGAAGAGACGGCUAACUCUGUGCCAGCAGCCGCGGUAAUACCGAGGUCUCAAGCGUUGUUCGGAAUCACUGGGCGUAAAGCGUGCGGAGGCUGUUUCGUAAGUCUGGUGUGAAAGGCGCGGGCUCAACCCGCGGACGGCACAUGAUACUGCGAGACUAGAGUAAUGGAGGGGGAAGCGGAAUUCUCGGUGUAGCAGUGAAAUGCGUAGAUAUCGGGAGGAACACUCGUGGCGAAGGCGGGUUCCUGGACAUUAACUGACGCUGAGGCACGAAGGCCAGGGGAGCGAAAGGGAUUAGAUACCCUGGUAGUC